rnacentral:lncRNA from 1 species
UUUGCUUCGGAUUGAGUCUGAGAUUUUGUUUGUUUAUUUAUUCCAGUUAUGGGUUUUUCUUCUGGGUCGGGUCACCCCGUUAUGUUAUUCGAACAAAAGUGUAAUCUGUGUGUGUGUCCCGGGUGGAUUCAAAUGUUCAAUCAAUUCAAUUUCAGUCAAAAUGUUGCCCAUUUCUGGAACUGAUGCUGUUUUGUUAUGUUUGAUCCUUAAAUGUGCUUCUGUGACUGGUUUUUUAUAUAGAAUUUUUGGGUACAUGGUUUAAGUGUUAGUCUUUCAAUGCAUGAACUUUGAAUUGGACACUGAAAUUGGGAUAUGUUUCAGUUGACUUUAUAUUUAUGUAAUAAAUUGAGUGUGUAAUAAAUUAAGACUCCAUAGAGCAUUUGGAUGGCUUAGUAUUUAGGACAUAAGGAAAGCAAACAAACACUAUCCUUUUGGUGAAUCAAUCAUACAUGCUUCUUGUAUACAUGUGUUUCUUUCUAUCAUGGGUUUUAAGGUUUAUCUUUGUUUAUAGAGAGAGUAUGAUCCUAAACUCUUAUGUUCUACUCUUCUUGGUAAGAACGUAUCAAAUUCUAACGUAACCAUCGAUUAAAUAUAGCUGGAUUUUAAGUUUUUGUUAAAUAUACAUGUAAAAUAGUGCACAUACCAAGGUAUAUUGAUAUAAUAUACAUAUAAAAUUUUGAAUUUUUUUUCUAGUUAGCGCCCGCUAUUUAUCGCUAUUCGCUAUGUAAUAUAUAGGUACCUUAUCGCUAUUUGUCGUUAUUCGCCAUUAACAACUAUGUUGACAACUUACUCAUAGUGAUGCUUGGGGCUGUAAGAACACUCAGGCUACAUGUUGAGGAAGAUGGCCCAAUUGUGGAAGGUUGCGGUGAUGUGUUACUUUCCUGUGGGUACAGAAGCUAAAAAUGAAAUACAGCUUUGUCUUGAACAUGCGAGAACUGCUAUGCAUCCACUGACUGCUGCUGGUGGGAAUUCAAGUUGCUAGCUGGAGAGUCAAAGAAACCGAAAGGAUGAUCGCCACUUGCAAUGAACUCAGAAAGUUGGGAGCUACAAUUGAAGAAGGCCCCGAGUACUGUGUGAUCACUCCACCGGAGAAGUUGAAUGUGGCGGCAAUACACAUAUGAUUUCUAACGGGGGGUCGAAAACGUAUAUACCCAAAAAUUUCUACAGAACCAGGGGGUCGAAAACAUAUAUACGAAAACCACAUAUAUUACACUACUGAGCGAAAAGUUCAGGGGUUAGACGCCCCCGGCCCCUUAAUAGCUGCGCCCCUGCCUGUGUAGAUGUUCUUGUCACCAUCAGGGAUCCUGCUUGCACUCAUAAGACGUUUCCCGGUUACUUUGAAGUUCUUCAGAGAUACGCGAAGCAUUGAUGUUUUUCGAAUCGAGUUUUUGUUUCAUUCGUAAGGUGUAAAAAAAAGAUUUUAUUUGCUAUUAGAUUUGUGAUUCUUUGGAAUAGUAAGAUUAAAUUUUAAGUGUU